UACGAAGGGUGCAAGCGUCACUCGGAAUUACUGGGCGUAAAGGGUGCGUAGGUGGUUUUUUAAGUCCGUUGUGAAAUCCCUGGGCUCAACCUGGGAAUGGCAGUGGAUACUGGAAGGCUAGAGUGCGGUAGAGGGUAGUGGAAUUCCCGGUGUAGCAGUGAAAUGCGUAGAGAUCGGGAGGAACACCAGUGGCGAAGGCGGCUACCUGGACCAGCACUGACACUGAGGCACGAAAGCGUGGGGAGCAAACAGG
rnacentral:rRNA from 1 species